CGUGUAGGCGGUUUUUUAAGUCUGAUGUGAAAGCCCUGGGCUCAACCCGGGAAGUGCAUUGGAAACUGGGAGACUUGAAUACGGGAGAGGGCAGUGGAAUUCCUGGUGUAGGAGUGAAAUCCGUAGAUAUCAGGAGGAACACCGGUGGCGAAGGCGGCUGCCUGGACCGAUAUUGACGCUGAGACGCGAAAGCGUGGGGAGCAAACA
rnacentral:rRNA from 1 species